AUUGAUGUGCUCACUUGGAGAUUACAGAAAAUAAUAUACGAUUUGGAGAGAGAGAGAGAGAGAAAGGAAUGGGACCUACCACUCUCAUCAACCGGACUUAACAUGUGGAUGAAGCCUGAGUCACUGUGGCCUGAUGUACACAUGGAGUGCUCGAAGGUUAUUUCUCCUUGUUCUUUUCGGUGCAGAAACUUGAAGACAAAGGGAGACAGGUUAUGACAAAAGCAUUGACAAGAUCUACCAACACAAGUUUCACCAUCUGAUGCAGUGAGUUACUGUUAAUAUUCUUCAUGCAUGGAAGGAACCACAGGUAAGUCUUCCCUCAAAAGGAUCAACAUCUUGCUACUACAUGCCACAGACUAGGGGUCUUUCUUGGAAUCAGAUGCUGCACUGCUCAUUGGUCUUUGCAAAAAGCUAUCUACGCAGUACAGCUCCUAAUUACAUGACCAGCUUCACAAGUCCCAGUUGUGUGUGGUCCUUGGGCAAGGAACAGAGGACAACCUGAGCAGAUUUAUCCGAGACUUCAACACUAAGCAAUUCACCCACACCCACUUCUUCUUCUUCUUCUUCUUCUUCUUCUUGGUUACCAUACAAUGAGAUCCAAGGGAUGACAGAGGUGUCCGUCCCCAUAUCACCACCCCUCGCUGCCCUCAUGAUUCAAAGCAAUUAAAGGCAUUAAGCAUUUCGAGCCUGGCCGUACCAUCACGCGAGCCAUCGCCACUGUGGUGCAACAGUGCCCCCCACUUUAUCCUAGAAUCGCUUUGCAUUCUUCCAAGCCACCACAUGGAAAAGGGUAGGGGGAGGGAGGUGGAGCAGAUAAAAGUGCAGAGAGAUAGAUAGGUUGAUAGAUAUGCAUUGCAUGGUUGUGAUUCCAUGGCUGCAUUAUUGCGUCCAUCAACCCAAUUAAGAUGAGAUUUCACGUCGCCCUUUGGAUGACACUGUGACCACCUAGAGAACCUUGAGAAAAGGAGGAGGAGGAGGAGAAGAAGAGGACAUGUGUGCUUGUGCUCCUCCUCCUCCUCCUUACAGGAGUAAUUUGAAGCACCUUGACUUGUGGGCACACCCUUCUUCUUCUUCUUCUUCUCCUUUUUUCCCUUUCCCUAUCCAUCUAACCCAAAGCUGAGUCUGCCCUAAACAUACGUGCCCCUCUGCCCUACCACCAUCCCCCGAAGCCUUUUCUGGUCUCCUUUGUUCUGCUCCACAGUUGGUAUGAUAUGGCCAAAGCAAAAGGUGGGGGUGUUGGGAGGGGGGCACCAUGUUCUGACCAAAGGCGCAGGAAAAGAUGGAGUCAGGUUCCCAACAUGCACAAACCCAAAGCAAGCUUCAUCUUCCGUGCAUGCCACCACCUGCACCAUGCUGCCGGGCGAGCUUGUUUGUAUGAACCUGAUUGAGGUGACAACUUGUUCUUCACCACAAGGUCAGUGAACAAUCAACUGCAAUCAAACAAAUGAGCCACCAAGUGCAUUUUUCAGGUGGCUACUGCAAAAUCCAAAGAGGCAACUUGAUUUCAACAGAGCACUUUGUUGUGAAUUAUGCCAGAGAAAUGAGAAAACAGAUACAUAGAGGCUUCAAUCACUGAACAGUUAUGAUGAUGACCUUUCAUUUCUGUGGUGGAAGGGACUGUCAAGCAGUGAUCUUUGGCAGUGUUGACACAUCGAUGCAAGGAAUGCUUCUCAUACUUGAAGCUUCAGAAAGGACAACUGGUAUUUUCUUUCUUCAGGAUGCAGAUUUGUCCCUUGAGCCCAUAAACACCAUGAAUUGAAGGGCAGAUACCUCUUGUCUGGGCUGGAGGUGGAUCUAUCCAUCCAUUUGGGUUGAGCUUUGGGCCUACUACUCCAUGGGAAGAUUGUGGCUCCACCCCAAGAUUCACUUGGUGCUUGGAUCAACCUCAGAUGCUGUGAUGAGAAGAUUUGUGAGCUUGAGAUGGCUUCUUCCAAAGAAAAUAGCUACAGUACUUGGAACAAGUCAUUCUAUCAUCACUGUAUUUCUAGAUUAUUAACACAAAAUCAUCUUUCUUGCAUUUCCUCACAUUUAUUGUCUGCAUCACAUUUUAGGAAUAAGAUUGUGGGUGUUCAGUGAACAUGGAAGCUGAGCCUCAGCCCUUGUCAGCUAGCAAUGAUCAAUCCUGUUGUUAUCAGCCUCAACUGAAACCUCAAGUUAGCAAUGUAAUCUUUGUCAAAGCAUACAUCAUAUGUUCUUCAUGCAAGUUUGUGUUAUAUUCCUUUGAUGAUAUAACAACACAUUGCUGCAAGCUUGCACAGCAACAAAAACAGAAAAAGACAUCUCUGAUGGUAAUUAUGGUCACUUCAAUGUCUGGUGGAAGGCCUGAAUCAGGUGCAGAAGAAUCAUUAUCUCUGGUCAGCAGACAAGGAUAGCUAAUUUGUCUUGGUUUUCCUCGAGCAGAAAUAAAAGCAAAUCUUGUUAGCCAAUAACAUUCGUCCACCAUCCUUUUGUUCAUCUCUGGAUUGUGGCCCUGCAGUUUAUAUUCCUUUUUCUUUUUCUGUUCUGUUUCUUCCAUCUUUUCUUUGGAUUAUUUUGCUGUCAUAUUUAUCUGAUUCCUUUCUUUCUGGGGUGCUCAGCUACAGGAAUUGAGCACCCAUCACAUUGCUCAGACAGAGUGUGCCAUAUCAUGUCCUGUUUUUGUGGAUGAACAAUGGGCAUCAGACAGCUCUGCUGCUGUGUUUGGGGAGAAAUCAUGGAUGACAGAGAGGGAGACAUUGCAAGGGCAGACAGGUGCAUGGAUAAUUAUUCCAAAGACACAACAUGCUAUGUGAAAGAAACCUGAAGAUGGCACACAAAGUGCAUGGUAUGGUGGAUGAUGCAAUCAAAGGUAGGAUAAGUUCCAGGCCCUGCUUUUUGAUGUAGAGAAGCUUCAAAGAAACUUCCUCCAGUACACAAUUAUGCUUGAUUGGCAAGGGAUAUGUGAUUGCCAUCUCCUUUUUCUCAUCCAACAUAUGCAAAUCAUUCUCAUGUGAUGUUCACAAAA